rnacentral:RNase_P_RNA from 1 species
CGAGAAAAUCGGUCUGUUGACUUUUAUAAUUAAAGUAGGAAAGUCUGGACACCAUAGGGAAACAUAGCGGAUAACAUCCGUCCAAUGCGAAUUGAGGACAAGUGCAACAGAAAGCAAGUACAGUUCGGCUGUAGUGAAAUCAGGUAAACUCUAUGUGGUGCAAUGAUAAGUAUAUCGGCAAUUAAGGGCGUCCCGUCCAAUGUCGAGGGGUAAUCAGCUCAAGUCUUUUAGCAAUGAAAGAUUUAGAUAAAUAACAGACAUUCAAUCUAUUGAAUACAGAAUCCAGCUUAUAGAUUUUCUCGUUUU